rnacentral:rRNA from 2 species
GUUUAGAACGUCGUGAGACAGUUCGGUCCCUAUCUGCCGUGGGCGCUGGAGAACUGAGGGGGGCUGCUCCUAGUACGAGAGGACCGGAGUGGACGCAUCACUGGUGUUCGGGUUGUCAUGCCAAUGGCACUGCCCGGUAGCUAAAUGCGGAAGAGAUAAGUGCUGAAAGCAUCUAAGCACGAAACUUGCCCCGAGAUGAGUUCUCCCUGAGACUUAAAGUCUCCUGAAGGAACGUUGAAGACGACGACGUUGAUAGGCCGGGUGUGUAAGCGCAGCGAUGCGUUGAGCUAACCGGUACUAAUGAACCGUGAGGCUUAACCUUACAACGCCGAAG